rnacentral:rRNA from 1 species
UACAGAGGGUGCAAGCGUUGUUCGGAAUUAUUGGGCGUAAAGCGCGUGUAGGCGGCUCGGUAAGUCUGCUGUGAAAGUCCAAGGCUCAACCUUGGAAAGCCGGUGGAUACUGUCGAGCUCGAGUCCGGAAGAGGCGAGUGGAAUUCCUGGUGUAGCGGUGAAAUGCGCAGAUAUCAGGAGGAACACCAAUGGCGAAGGCAGCUCGCUGGGACGGUACUGACGCUGAGGAGCGAAAGCGUGGGGAGCGAACAGG